rnacentral:rRNA from 1 species
CGAGCGCGGGAGCUUGUCUGAUCCUUCGGGGUGACGCGGGUGGAACGAGCGGCGGACGGGUGAGUAACACGGGGGCAACCGGCCGGAAGAACUGGAAUAACUCCGGGAAACCGGGGCUAAUACCGAAUAAUACAUUGCUUCCCAUGAAGCAUGGUUAAAAGAUGGUUUUUACCUAUCACUUACAAAUGGGCCCGCGGCGCAUUACCUAGUUGGUAAGGUAAGGGUUUACCAAGGCAACAAUGCUUAGCCAACCUGAAAGGGUGAUCGGCCACACGGGGACUGAAACACGGCCCAAACUCUUACGGGAGGCACCAUUAGGGAAUCUUCCCCAUUGGACAAAGGUCUGACGGACCACCGCCGCUGGAACAAGAAAGGUUUUCGAAUCGUAAAGUUCUGUUGUUAGGGAAGAACAGUUACCGUCCAAAAGGGCGUAACUUGGACGUUACCUAUCGGGAAGCCCGGCUACCUACUUGCCACAGCCCGGUAUAGUAGGGGCAGCGUGUCGGAAUAUGG